rnacentral:rRNA from 1 species
CCCUUAGAUGUUCUGGGCUGCACGCGCGCUACACUGAAGCUAUCAACACGUUUUCCCUCCCUGAGAAGGGCGGGUAACCUUUUGAAUCAGCUUCGUGGUAGGGAUCGGGGCUUGCAAUUGUUCCCCGUGAACCAGGAAUUCCUAGUAGACGCGAGUCAUAAGCUCGCAUCGAUUAAGUCCCUGCCCUUUGUACACACCGCCCGUCGCUACUACCGAUUGAACGUUUUAGUGAGGCAUUUGGACCGACGCAUCUCAGUUUAACCGCAGGUUUGUGUUGGAAAGACUUCCAAACUUGAGCGUUUAGAGGAAGUAAAAGUCGUAACA